AGCAACACUAGUUACAAAACAAGCGACGACGACAGACGGAUCAACCCCGACGAAGAGACAUCGACUUCGCUUUUGCUAAUAAACGGCUACAAACUCACAUAUUUGAUUAAUAUUCGUAAUAUAUCGUCUUGAUAUACGUUUUGAAGGUUAUUUACUUGCCUUGAAUCGUUUACAUCGACGUUACCACCAGAACAAAGCUACAAUCUACACGCUUGUGGCAGUACACAUAAACAAUGGCCAAGGGAGAAGUCGCACACUCUAAAAUGGCCUACGAUCGUCAAAUUGAUGGCAUCAAAGUCAUCUUUGACCAGAGUAGCCCGGUCCCUUCUCGCUCCCGAUCCAGGAGCAACAGUGGCAGCAAACCUACCUCUGGCUCCGGCCGCUCCAAGGGCCGUGUCAGCCGCAGGAGGCGCUACAGAUCAUCCUCCAGCAGCAGCAGCUCCUCGUCUCAUUCCAGGUCCCGCUCUCACCCCCGAUGCCACAGACCUUCUUCCCGUUGUCGCUGUGACAACCAUCGCAGAAAUGACCGUAGCCGCCAAGCCCCACCACGUCGCGACAGGGCCGGCUCCAGGUCCUCCAGCCACAGGAACAAGAACAAGAGGGCUGCGAGCCCCUCUUCCAAAUCCCAACCCAGAACCCACAGCGGCAGCUCAAGAUCUGGAUCUUCAGAGGAUUCCGUCAACCUGAGAUUGGAUGACAAAGGAGAACUGGUCAGAGCUGCACAGGCCAUUGCAACGACAAUCCUAGGAGUGGAGAAGGAGGAACUUCCUGAGAGUGUGGAACCAGUCCUGUCCGAGGAGUCGGUUGAGUUCAAACGGGUGUCCAUAGAUACAUGGGUGAGACAAGACCCUGAAAAGACUGAGUCACAGGUGGGUGCAUUUCUGUCAUGUUUAUCACAAAACACAAUACAAAAAUUAAGCUGUGUACAGAUUCUUAAUAAAGGCAAACAUGUUUUUUUUCAUCAUGGACUACACCUAAAUAAAAGGUAAGGGGUGUUGAGAAUUUAGGGAUAGCCAACAAUCUUUCAACUUGUGCAUAAUCAAUCUUUACCACAUGCUUAAUAUUAAUCAUAGAUCUUAAGCUGUACAGGAUGACUUAAUAUUUUCAUAAUAUAAGCUGAUCUUAGCCGUUGCAUCAUUUUUUUUAAUCAAAGAUACAGUCUAACGUCUACAGUUGUUUAUCUUGAGGUCAAUGUUGUGUUGAAUUUCCUGUCUUGUGUGCUUGGACCCCUGAGGGAAUACACAUGCUCUCUGUAUUUAUUCCUGUCUUCAUAGAUAACAUGACAGUGGUCUCCUUCACUCAUCGGCACCUGGGAGUAAAGGGCUGUCAUGUGACUUGGGUGACAACAAUAUGUUUGCGUGAAAGUUUAUCUGAUACCUCCUUUAUAAUUUCCACGAUGUUUGAAAUGGGUCGUUGUUAUUUAGCAGAAUCCUUCACUCGCUGAUGGAGCAAAGGCGUGUGGACCGCAUUAUAGUGACUAUCCCUGUCGAGAGCUAGAAACAGAUGAAGAACUCCACUCCGUAUGCCAAAGAUAAGUUGGUUCACCAGCCGUGUGCUGAGCUGGGAAACCUACGUCACCACCAUUCAGCCAAUGUAGACAGAGAAGACAUCCCUUUUUACUUGAUCCUUUUCUCUUUCAUUUGAUUGUUUUAUUAUGUUUCAAGGUCUGACUUUAGUAGGAUUCAGUUAAUGCUCGAGCCGAGUCUUUGACAACAGUGGGAUGGGGUUUUUUAAGUGUUGAAGUUAACACUUAAAUAAUUAACAUGCAAUAGAAGUGCUUCACAAUUUGACAAUGGGGACUAUAACACAUCUAUAUGAAGUUUACAAACUGUCAGAGCCACCCUACCAUCAGUUUCACACACAUAUCUAACUAGGUGUGGUUUUCUUGUCUUUCUGAAACAGAGCGAUGAGGAGGAGUCUGAUGAUGUAUUCAGCCCCAGGAUGUCCCCAAAAAGGAAAACUAUCUCUUUCAGCAUUAAUAACUCUUUGGUGAAGCCCACACUGGCGGCUCAGUCUGGAGCUAAGGUAACCUCCAGAGUGGACAGCUUUGACAGCAGGAAGCCCUACGGUCACUGGGUUCGGGUCAAAUCAGGCAAAUCUAUGAACGCGCGCAAACACACAUUCUCUACUACACACUAGUGUGUCAGAGUGCAUGGACCCUGUAAAUACUGCACAUGAUUUGUACAUAUGCUUCAACAUAUUAUGGUCGCAAUUUUUUUUCAGAUGUUGAAAGAGUAAAGUGGGAACAACUGAAGAAAUUCAUUCAGGUGGGAUAUUUUUUUCCCUUUGUUGUAUAUUGUGCUUUUUUUUCAAUAAAGAUAUUUAUUUGAUUACAAAGUG